UACUAUACUAAAUUUUUAAAUUACUCGAAUAUUAUUAGGUAUAUUCUCUAAAUUCAAAGAAUUUGGCGGUAACUUAGUCUACCCAGAGGAACCUGUUUCUUAAUCGAUAAACCACGAAUAAUCUUACUUGUUUUUAUUAAUUAUUAGUUUGUAUACCGUCAUUAUCAGAUAAUAUCUAGAAAUAAAUUAUUUGAUUUUAAAUAGUAAAGUAAAUUAGAUCAAGGUGCAGCUUAUAAAUAAGUCGGAAUGGGUUACAAUUAAUUAAAUGUAAUACGGAACGGGAAUUGAAACAAUUUCCUUAGAAGGAGGAUUUGGUUGUAAUUAAAAUUAAUAUGAGAAAAAGAUAUUAGCUCUAAGUUAU
rnacentral:rRNA from 1 species